rnacentral:rRNA from 1 species
UACGGGGGGAGCAAGCGUUGUUCGGAUUUACUGGGCGUAAAGGGCGCGUAGGCGGUCGUGACAAGUCACUUGUGAAAUCUCCGGGCUUAACUCGGAACGGUCAAGUGAUACUGUCGGACUAGAGUACAGAAGGGGCAACUGGGAAUUCUCGGUGUAGCGGUGAAAUGCGUAGAUAUCGAGAGGAACACCUGCGGCGAAGGCGGGUUGCUGGGCUGAUACUGACGCUGAGGCGCGAAAGCCAGGGGAGCGAACGGG